rnacentral:lncRNA from 1 species
CUGGGAUGAUAUUGGUGAAAGAAAAUUGUUAAGACUUGAGAUAGUGCAAUAAAAUAUGGAAAAGUUUCAGAUAAUUGAGGAGUAGCUCUAUCAAUUUAAAGCACGUAGAAAAGCUAUGUAAAUAAUAGGAAGAGAGAGUUAGAACUUCAAAUAGGGCACUAUGUUCUCUUUAAAGUAUCUUUUACUAUGGGUGUAUAAGAUUUGAAAAUUUGAAGCAAGCUUAGUUCCAGAUAUGUGGAUCAAUUCAAAAUUUUAGAUAGAGUAAUAGAAGUAGAAUUCUAAUAAGCAU